CAGAGAGAGACUGAAAGCUGGUGAAGAAGAGCUUUGUGUAUGCCUUUCUUCAAUUCCUGCCAGGAUAUCGGCUUUGUGUUCAUCUAAACAGGCCCAGGUUUCACUCUAAGAAGCUGCCUUAAUCACGAUGAACCCAGGCUACGCAGGCAGGACCGAGCUCCGGGACAACCUGGAGGCCGCUUCAGAUCCGUCUCCAUGAUUGUGCCCAAUCACGCCGUCAUCGCAGAGGUGGACUUGUGAGCUGAGGGCUUCAAGUCCAGUGAGACUCUGGCGAAGAAGAUGAUUCAGCUGUAUAAGCUGUGCAGCAAGCAGCUUUCCCGGCAGGACCACUACGACUUCAGCAUGAGAGUCGUCAACUCUGUUAUCGUCAUGGCCGGGUCUCUGAUGCGAGAGAACCCACACCUGAGUGAGAACGUGGUGUUGAUUAGAGCGCUACGAUACUCCAACCUGCACAAGUUACUCAAGGAUGACCCAGAACUUAAAAUAAAAUAAAUUGAUAAAUAGUAAAGAACGCCAAAGCUUACAUAUGGAGUAUCAAAGGUGUUUGCUCAAAUUUAGCCUAUUACCCAAAAACACUUAAAAUUCAACUUAGAAGCCAAUACUCACAUCUACCUCUGAGCCCAGUUGGAGAUAGAAAAAAAGACACCAGCCGUGAGUGAGAAGAAGCAAGGGUCCAGCUUUAUUGUUCCGUUCCACCACACGAGAUCCACACCGAUGAGAAUUCUCAGAAGUGAUCUGAUACCCUGAGCUUAAGCUCCAGUAUUUAUAUUGUAUUUACCCAGUAAAUAACCCAUAUGUUUCAAGAAGACUAUGAUAUCACUACCAAUAGGGUUAAAAAAGAGCUCAUCUACCUUACUCUUAUGUUCCAGAAAACGGCUAUUUCACUUACACAUAGAAUCAAAACCAGGGGUUCUCAAAUUACACAUAAAAUCAAAACCAAGGGAUUUCUAAUAACCCAGAAAAUCAAAACCAAGGGAUUUCUAAUAAUCCAGAAAAUCAAAACCAAGAGAUUUCUGAUAACCCAGAAAAUCAAAACCAAGGGAUUCUACUAACCCAGAGAAUCAAAACCAAGAGAUUUCAAUAACCCAGAGAAUCAAAACCAAGGGAUUUGAAUAACCCGUAAAAUCAAAAGUGGAGAGACAAAACAUUAUCAUUAUCACAGGAUCACUGGAAUCAGGCACUAGGAGGAAAUUCCAGGACAAAUUAGGAAAUACAAUUAACUGACAUUUGCAAAUUCUUUGAAACUAAAAAGCUGUAAUUAUAUACUAUAUAACUUUUUUUUUUAAAGCAUUUAAAGUAUAUAACAUUAGCACCUUGUAAUGUUAUACCAGAUGAAAAGUAAAGAAUCCUGGAACAUCUGAACAUCCAUAAUCUGAAAAUCUUGAACCUAGAGUCAAUCGAGUCAAUCCAAUCUUUCUUGUGUGCGUUUAGCGGUAUUCAGUCGGACCUCUUUCCUGGUGUGGGCGUCCCCGUGCAUGACUACGGCGCGCUUCAGUCGAACAUCGAGGCAGCUCUAUGCGCCCGCUCCCUGCAACCCGUCUCCAGCAUGACCGCCAAGAUCUGACGACACCCAUGAUUCCCUUCGCUCUGAAGAGAAGGUGUGUAGCCAUCUGUACCCUUUCAUUGACGAGCUCAGUGACGAUGUCUCUGGCGUGGACAUCCACAGUAAUGAGAGCUGUGAUGAUGCUCUGAUGUAUUUUGGAUGAUGACAGCCAAGCGCAGCGAGGUGAGUCUUCUCCCAUCCCUGCGGCUCUCAUCCCGACAAGACAGUUUAAAUCAGCUUGGCUACAAGACUUCGCCUGAUUACGUUAUGACAAAGGGAAAAUGUACGGCACCUUUUGUGCUAAAGCAGGACAAGAUAUUGCUGGUAAAACAGAGUUCAUUACCAGUUCGAGUCAUUUUAAAAAAGAAACCGAAAGAAG
ensembl:lncRNA